UACGUGAAACCGUUCAGGGGUAAACCUGAGAAACCCGAAAGGUCGAAAGGGGAGAUUCAGCGCGUCUCGAUGUCGCCGCCGUGAUCGUGCNGUGCGACGGAUGGCGUCCGCGUCGUUCGCGCCCGCGGUUCGGCGGUGCGACGUCGAACGCGUGCACUUCUCCCCUAGUAGGACGUCGCGAUCCGUUGGGCGUCGGUCUAAGGCCUCCGGUGGAGUCCGUCAGGUUUCGGUUUCGGCCGUGCCCGACGAACCCGGAGUGUUUCCCGACCGGCUCGCUCGACGGUAGACACAGAUGAGGCGCGUGGCCGCUACACUUUCGAGUUAGCGUCCGACUCGUGGCAAGCGCGCUCGUCGCGUCGGUGAUCGGACCCGGUGCCGAUCCCGACCCCGAGUGGCUGUUCGCCGCGAUGUUCUCGGACCGAGCCAGUCGAAACGCCGAUCUGCGACGCUAUAGCUUUGGGUAAUUUCAGGACCCGUCUUGAAACACGGACCAAGGAGUCUAGCAUGUACGCGAGUCAUUGGGACAUAACGAAACCUAAAGGCGAAAUGAAAGUGAAGGUACGCAUAGCGCGGACCGAGGGAGGAUGGGUGACCGUUUCGGCUGUCGCCCCGCACUCCCGGGGCGUCUCGUUCUCAUUGCGAGAGGAGGCGCACCAAGAGCGUACACGCUGGGACCCGAAAGAUGGUGAACUAUGCCUGGUCAGGACGAAGUCAGGGGAAACCCUGAUGGAGGUCCGUAGCGAUUCUGACGUGCAAAUCGAUCGUCGGAACUGGGUAUAGGGGCGAAAGACUAAUCGAACCAUC
rnacentral:rRNA from 1 species